UAGAGCUUCAGUUGACUCUUUCAGGACCUGACGUAUCUAGCAGCUCCGCCUCCCCUCCUAUCCUCUCUUUCUCUCUCCCGGCUCGGGCCCUACCUGAUUGUCUGCUUGUUUUCCCUGGCGGCUCCCAGCUUCCGUUCCCAGGCUGGGAGGUGGGAGGUGGGAGCACAGCCUACGACACAUACUUUCCACCCUUGAAGGCUGAGGGCCAGCGGCGGUUCCUCCUGUCCACAGGCCCUACAGGAAACACUUAAGCCCUGCUGCUGCCCACCAGAUCCAAACUACUCUUCUGGCUCGGGCUUUGGGUUGAAGGAGGGAUGAGAUUGGAUACGUUUAUGAGGAAUAAAUGAGAAAAGUCCAUAAGGCGCACUCCAAGUGACCCCGUGGCCCUGCGACCCUGUAACCUUCCUCCCAGUCCAGUUUACUGAGCGAGGAACAUGUUCAGUCAAUGAAGAUAAGGCUGGAGGGCAACGCAACUUGUUUGAAAUGGAAAUGAGCGCAGCUUCUUCCUCUUCUAGCUACCACCAGGACUCACAAUGAAGGAUGCCAUCUGUAAUGGAUCAGAGACUUGCGAGGAGCUGCAGAAAGUGUGUUGCAGCACAAGUUUGAGUGUAAACCUGGGCUCAGUAGAAACACUUAAAGCCUUUGAUAAACAUUCUUAUCUAGAGGUGAGAUGAUGAAAUAUGAUCUGUACAGACAGAGCAGAGAGCCAAAGCCCAAGGGGUGUGUGUUUGUGUGUGUGUGUGUGUGUGCAUGUGUGUCUAUUAGUUUAAAUGGGUUGUCCCCACAUUGCCUCUCUUUCCCUUCAUCUGCAGCACUGUGGGCCUGUUUUUAUCAGCUCCAUCUCCGGAGCUGACAGUAAUGUGUGCCCACCCAUGUAGUCAGCGCUCUCUGUGUGUGUUGGUGUGCUUACACUGUGUGUGUCUGCAUAUAUAUAUAAAUAUGUGUGUGUGAGUGUGUGUGUGUGUGCCAGCCAGCAGGCCAGGACGAUGCUCAAACUAUUUUGGCUGAUUUAUAGAGUCUCCUCAGGCUUUGGAGAGAUCCCCUUUAUGACUAAAGACAGCGAGGGGUCUGUGUAGGGACAGCCAAGCUUAAUGACUAAGCGGGUGCCAACUCAAGCGUACACACAUGUGCGAUGGUAUACGUGCUAAGGAGACACGCGCACAUAAAACGAAAUGAAAUCAAAGCAAAGCAACACCUCAGCUCAAUGAAUAGACAAUGAAUAGAUAAUCAGAAUCUGACGUAUUUAAGAGGAACAUUUUAUCCUUUUGGCACUCAAGGCCGCACACACUGAACCACAAAUUUUGGCUGCCUUGUGCCGUGGUUACGCUACUCAGUUUUUAUUUCAAAAACCUUGUCUAAUUUCUAUUUUUAAGAGCACACACAGUGAGGUGCAGACCAGUGUGAGCAUACUGCGUAAGCACUGCAAGUCCAUCAAAAUCAAAUUCAUGUGCAGGUCCUCUCCAAUAAACCCAUAAGGUGGUGGUUUAUUGACUUUGAAAGAGCUUGUCUGCUAAGUCUUUGUACAUAAAUGGUACAAUAAGUCUUUCCAUUCAAAACAAACAAUGUGAGAGGUUUCAAAAGGGCAAAACAUAUUUUGAUUUGACACUAAUAUGGUUGAAAAGAGAGUUGUUUUGUUUACCUCCCACGGCUGAAAUUCUCAGUUUUGCAGUGAUGUAAAAGGGUACCAAUGGCGUGGUCAAAGAAAUAACACUUACUCAUCUUGAAGUUUCAUUUUGUGUGUGUGCGUGCAUAAGGUCACAACAUGUUUUGGGAAGAAGUAAUAAAAAAUUUUCAAAGUCAGACACCGUGUCAACACUAGCCACAUUUCAGUAGCACUCUUUGUCAUCUGUCUCUGUGCCUCAGGUUUUAAUCAAUACUACAGUGGCACAACACACUGGUUUAUUG